GUUGAGAACGCGCGUCUGCCUGUGGUUCGGCGCGCUCUUUCGCUGCUGUUUAUAGCGCUCUGGGAAUACUAAUCUCAUCUUUGAGGGGACAAACAACGAAUAAGCUUUCUAUUCUUCGAGGCGACUUUUUCGCUUCUGCGACAGCGUCAUCUGUGCAAGAAGGAGCUGAAUAUUUCCCAGCAGUGAAAAGAGGCGAGGAAAUAAUAUAGGAAGACUGCUGACCGUGGUGAAGGAAAACCGUUGAAGAGGUGGAGGUAUUUGACCUUGACAGCCCCCCAAGUUGCACAACCCCCGGCUGCCCCUCCCAACCCCCAUUUUCCCAUCUUAAACCCCCCCCCCCUCCAGCCUUUGCCGGUUCACCCCUUUUGAGGCCGCCUAAGUGGACGUUUGUGGGGAGGAGCUUCGGACCAGACGACGCCAUUGGACGUUGCAGCCGUCUAUCACAACCGAGUGGGGGCUGUUCUGCUGUGGGCCAUGUGUUCCUGGUGAGUUCCCAGCACGCCGUCCUCCUCCCCGCCAUCAUGAGGCAGCAGCGUGCCGCGCCCCCCUCCCUCCUGACC
ensembl:lncRNA